AGAGUUUGAUCCUGGCUCAGGAUGAACGCUAGCGGCAGGCUUAACACAUGCAAGUCGAGGGGCAGCGGGAUGUAGCAAUACAUGCCGGCGACCGGCGGAUGGGUGCGUAACGCGUAUGCAACCUACCUUAUACAGGGGAAUAACCUUUCGAAAGGGAGACUAACACCCCAUAGUAUUGAUUUUAAGGCAUCUUAGAUUAAUUAAAUAUUUAUAGGUAUAAGAUGGGCAUGCGUAUGAUUAGCUAGUGGUAAGGUAACGGCUUACCAAGGCGACGAUCAUUAGGGGUUCUGAGAGGAAGGUCCCCCACACUGGUACUGAGAUACGGACCAGACUCCUACGGGAGGCAGCAGUGAGGAAUAUUGGUCAAUGGGCGCAAGCCUGAACCAGCCAUGCCGCGUGCCAGGAAGACGGCCUUAUGGGUUGUAAACUGCUUUUACAUAAGACUAACCGUAUAUUUGCGAAUAUACCUGAAUGUAUUAUGAGAAUAAGGAUCGGCUAACUCCGUGCCAGCAGCGGC
rnacentral:rRNA from 1 species